UCGAGUGAGGAUGGUGCAUUUUGGGAUCCCUCGCGGGCAGCUGUGCAAUCCCGGUCCCGUACAGGUGUUGUCUGCGUGGAGCAGCGGCAGGGCUGGGAGCGGAGAGGGCAGACCAGACCUUCUUCUGGAUGGAGCGAGUCCGUAUCAUCUGUCCCAGAGCGUGCGGUUGCCUCAACGCAGCACUAGCCUUCUGCUCGUGGUUGGGACCAGAAGGGUACCGUGGGACUGUCCUUGUUGAUAAAAAAGGAUAUUGAGGAAAGGCAGCUCUUGUGGACCAGGUCUUGUCUUUCUGAUGGUGGCCAGAAGAAAUGAGGUGCACAAACAGUUGUUUCUCUUUGAAGGUCCUUCCCAGCUUCUGGCAGUUAAGGAAUACUCUGAGACUCUGAUCAAAUUAAUUGAACAUCGUCAUUUGCAGAACUCCAUAUGAUAUGCCUAGGUUUGGAUGGUUAAUGAGUCCCCCGGAGUCCUCUCUUUCAGCAGACAAAUAGGCAGGAAUUCCUGCUGAUGGAUCAGAGAGUCACAGAAGGCGUCUCUGAAGACUAUCUAGUGCAAGUCCCAAACCAGCAUCAACCAGAGCAGGUUGCUCAGGGCCUGGCCCAUUAGCUCUCAGCUGACUCAUCAUCCAUCCCAAAGCAAUGCUUCAUUCAUUCCUGCUUCUCUCUCAUAUAAAAGGCAACUCCCCAUCCUUGCUGUUCUGGCCAGUUCUGCCUAAAGAGCCGUAUGCAUCCCUCACAGCCCUCCAGGUACGUGAGCCUGGAGGCACCACGUGAGGCACCAUGUCUCCAUGAUCCAAAUGAGAUCGUAGCCCUGUGUGCUGGUUUUGGCU